rnacentral:rRNA from 1 species
AUUGAACGCUGGCGGCAUGCUUUACACAUGCAAGUCGAACGGUAACAGGCCGCAAGGUGCUGACGAGUGGCGAACGGGUGAGUAAUGCAUCGGAACGUGCCCAGUCGUGGGGGAUAACGCAGCGAAAGCUGCGCUAAUACCGCAUACGAUCUAUGGAUGAAAGCGGGGGACCGAAAGGCCUCGCGCGAUUGGAGCGGCCGAUGUCAGAUUAGGUAGUUGGUGGGGUAAAGGCUCACCAAGCCAACGAUCUGUAGCUGGUCUGAGAGGACGACCAGCCACACUGGGACUGAGACACGGCCCAGACUCCUACGGGAGGCAGCAGUGGGGAAUUUUGGACAAUGGGCGCAAGCCUGAUCCAGCAAUGCCGUGUGCAGGAAGAAGGCCUUCGGGUUGUAAACUGCUUUUGUACGGAACGAAAAGGCUCGGGUUAAUACCCUGGGGUCAUGACGGUACCGUAAGAAUAAGCACCGGCUAACUACGUGCCAGCCGCCGCGGUAAUAC